rnacentral:misc_RNA from 1 species
UACCUUGGUACAAAUAAGCGAUUUUGUCUUCAAGGCAUAUUGUUGGUCAAAACACGGCGAGGUGAGGUUCGUGCUACCCUUGCAAUUUGCCUGGGCUGCUUUUGCAUUUGUGCAUACCCUUAUUUAUAUCCCAUUCAAAAUGAAGACUCAUUUUUUCGUUGCAGUUUGGGCGAAAUGUACCAUUUCAUUUUCAAAAUAUACCGUGAAUAUACUGACGAAGAGCCGAAUUUCGCCCACUUACACCCCCUUUUUCUAAACAGGACAGCAAGAAGGGUGCAAAUCCAUACUAUCCCUAAUUUUUACGUAAAAAAGACCAAGAUCACUUAAACUGCCUUAAAAUUCUUUAAGAUUCAUCGUUUUCGUAGAGUGUAGUUUAAUCUAUUAAUUUGUAAUCUAAUCGUUCUGUUAUUAUGUUAUUCCCCACUAUUUAUAUACUAAGGACCAUAGGGGAUAGAAUCUUCCAUACUCAGGUUUUUUAAUUUUUGAUCUCGCAAAUCGUACUUCCGUGCAUCACUUAUUUUACUUUUUCCAAUACGACUUUGGAGCGCAGCUCUACCGAUUAUGGCGAACUGCUCGAAUAGGUUAUUGGCUCUCUUGGAAUCGGUAGUGGCUCUCUAUUUUCGUACAAUCAAAUAAAAAAAGUAUUUUUUAAAUUUGCUGGAUAGGGCAUCUACGAUCGCGUGCAUCGCGCCAGCAGCUGGGACCAAGAGGGUCCUGACAUAGCGACCGCGCCAGUAGGUCCCCCUCCGAUGGCUAGGAAUACUUCUUGGGUGCUCGCGAACAACGUUAUGCCCACCAUCGUUUACCAGAGGCUUCAACCCUCUACCCAUCCGGUUCUUAUGAGCGAGAGUGACCAACUGAUAUCGCGAAGUCCCCGCUGAACUGUGACCACGCCCCUGCUCCUGGACUGUGACAGCCAUGAUGCCGCUGAGUCGACAAUCUGGCGUCCCGUCCGAGGCAACAGGGACCAGUGAUGGACGCCGGAAUUGUUGAUUCACAACCACGGGAAAUAAUAUCGGCAACCGCCCAUACAUACGCCACCAUAUCAAACACUGGGCUUCAGCUUCGAAAAGCAGGACUGACCUACGCUUUGCUCCAAAUCGUGUCGUAUCCGAGUUCUCCCCGCUAGACGGAGUCCUAUCAAAGUAUGCCAGCCGGACAGAAUCGUAUCCCAGAAGGACAUAAGGGCACCACUUGCAAAAUGCGAGCCAAAAAGCCAACGUCAUCCUUCGACCUGGCCAUCGACAACAACUAUUUUGACUAUGGCAACCAAGACAGGGGCAACGCAGGCUACUAGACUCUAGAUAGGUAUCAUUGUUGUUAGGUUUAAGGAUAUACGCGUCUAUAUAUUUAGUUACUAGAUAUUAUUUCCACUUGCUGAUUUAUUUCUACUAAGCUAAGUUAUAUUGAAUAAAACGAUUGAAAAAUUA